CCUACGGUAGGCAGCAGUGAGGAAUAUUGGACAAUGGGCGCAAGCCUGAUCCAGCCAUGCCGCGUGCAGGAAGAAGCAUCUAUGGUGUGUAAACUGCUUUUGUACGGGAAGAAACACUGCUACGUGUAGCAGCUUGACGGUACCGUAAGAAUAAGGAUCGGCUAACUCCGUGCCAGCAGCCGCGGUAAUACGGAGGAUCCAAGCGUUAUCCGGAAUCAUUGGGUUUAAAGGGUCCGUAGGCGGUUUGGUAAGUCAGUGGUGAAAGCCCAUCGCUUAACGAUGGAACGGCCAUUGAUACUGCCAGACUUGAAUUACUAGGAAGUAACUAGAAUAUGUAGUGUAGCGGUGAAAUGCUUAGAUAUUACAUGGAAUACCAAUUGCGAAGGCAGGUUACUACUAGUUUAUUGACGCUGAUGGACGAAAGCGUGGGGAGCGAACAGGAUUAGAUACCCUGGUAGUCCACGCCGUAAACGAUGGAUACUAGCUGUUCGGGGUAACCUGAGUGGCUAAGCGAAAGUGAUAAGUAUCCACCUGGGGAGUACGUUCGCAAGAAUUGAAACUUCAAAGGAAUUGACGGCUGGAGAGNGCGACGACGACGACGAGGGAGGAGG
rnacentral:rRNA from 1 species